CAGCCGUAAACUAUGCGCGUUAGGUGUAUCGGUGACCACGAGUUACCGAGGUGCCGAAGGGAAACCGUGAAACGUGCCGCCUGGGAAGUACGGUCGCAAGGCUGAAACUUAAAGGAAUUGGCGGGGGGAGGCACCGCAACGGGAGGAGCGUGCGGUUUAAUUUGGAUUCAACACCGUAAACUACACCAGGGAAGACUGUUACAUGAAGGCCGAGAUGAAGACUCUGCUAGAUUUUCAGAGAGGUGGUGCAUGGCGUCAGUGACU
rnacentral:rRNA from 1 species